rnacentral:rRNA from 1 species
CAUCUAAGGAAGGCAGCAGGCGCGUAAAUUACCCAAUCCUGAUUAAGGGAGGUAGUGACAAGAAAUAACAAACAGGGGAUUUUUCAAAUCUUACUGUAUUGCAAUGAGGAAAAUUUAAAAACCUUAUCGAGAAACAAGUGGAGGGCAAGUCUGGUGCCAGCAGCCGCGGUAAUUCCAGCUCCACUAGCGUAUAUUAAAAUUGUUGCAGUUAAAAAGCUCGUAGUUGAACCUCUGACUAUGCGCAGUUCUGGUUUUCAAUCAAGCUGCGUGUAGUCAUCCAUCUGCAAACCUUUUCGGGCAUUCAGUUGUUCGGCUAGGAGAGUAGAUAUUUUACUGUGAAAAAAUUAGAGUGUUUAAGGCAGACAAUGGUUUGAAUACAUUAGCAUGGAAUAAUAGAACAGGACACUUGUUCAUUUCGUUGGUUAUUGGACUCGUGUAAUGAUUAAUAGGGACAGUUGGGGGCAUUUGUAUUUAAUUGUCAGAGGUGAAAUUCUUGGAUUUAUUAAAGACAAACUUAUGCGAAAGCAUUUGCCAAGGAUGUUUUCAUUAAUCAAGAACGAAAGUUAGGGGAUCAAAGACGAUCAGAUACCGUCCUAGUCUUAACUAUAAACUAUUCCGACUCGGUUUUGGCAUGGCGCAUAUAACCAUGUCAGCGCCGUAUGAGAAAUCAAAGUUACGGUUCCGGGGGGAGUAUGGUCGCAAGACUGAAACUUAAAGGAAUUGACGGAAGGGCACACAAGGUGUGGAGCCUGCGGCUUAAUUUGACUCAACACGGGGAAACUUACCAGGUUAAAACAUUAGUGGGAUUGACAGAUUGAGAGCUCUUUCUUGAUUCAAUGGGUGGUGGUGCAUGGCCGUUCUUAGUUCGUGGAGUGAUUUGUCUGCUUAAUUGCGAUAACGCGACGAGACCAUUACCUGCUUACUAGACACGUUAUGUUAAUGGCGUGCUCUUCUUAGAGGGACUUUGGAAUUUCAAUUCCAAGGAAGUUGGUGGCAAUAACAGGUCUGUGAUGCCCCUAGACAUCCUGGGCCGCACGCGUUCUACAAUGAUGCAUUCAGAAAGUUUUCCUGGCCUGAAAAGGUUUCGGGUAAUCUUGAAAAUAUGCAUCGUGAUAGGGAUAGAUCUUUGCAAUUAUAGAUCUUGAACGAGGAAUACCUUGUAAGUGCAAGUCAUCAGCUUGUACUGAAUCGGUCCCUGCCUUUUGUACACACCGCCCGUCGCUUCUACUGACGAAUGCUCCGGUGAACCUUCUGGACUGUGCAGGACUCGAUCCAUGCCGGGAAGUUAUGUAAACCAAUGCAUUUGGAAGAAGAAGAAGUCGUAACAAGGU